UUUAUCAUAGUUGAUGAAACA
rnacentral:piRNA from 1 species